GAAGAAGAGAAGAGAAGAGCAAACCCCAAAGCCACAGUUUAAGCAACGAAUGAAGAGAACCGGAUAUCUGAGCAGGGCAGUGAAGCAGGCUUAGAAGCAGCAUUGUCCAAAAGAAGGAGAGAGAGAGAGACGGUAGCGGUAAGAAGAGCCAUGUGAUAGUCCCGGACAGAGAAACAAGUUUACCAGAUAGGCAGCGCGGCAGACAACGCAGCAGGAGGCACAUGGGAUACCGUCAGAGGAGAAGAGGCGCGCAGUGCGCGAAGAACACAAUGUUUUCAAUCCACAUGCGCGGCACGUGAGAGGACGACGAAACUCUGGCUGAAGGGCGUUCGCACUUUAUCUACUUAUGUUGAUGGCCACACGGGCCUUGUGCGGCUGCGAGAAGGGGGGAAAAAAAACUCAAGCUCAGGAUCAG
rnacentral:lncRNA from 1 species